rnacentral:ribozyme from 16 species
UUUUUUUUUUUUUUUUUUUUUUGAAAUAAAUAAGUGAAAUCUUUACCAUUUUUAUAUAACUAGGUGGUAUAUAUAUAUAUGUCGUGAAUUUUACCCCCGAGAGGCAUUAUACGCCAAAAGGUUUGAAAUUUUGACCGUCGUAAAAGCCUGUUCAUCCCAAAUCAUUAAAAAGAACGUAACA